rnacentral:rRNA from 1 species
CCUACGGGAGGCAGCAGUGGGGAAUAUUGCACAAUGGGGGAAACCCUGAUGCAGCGACGCCGCGUGAGUGAAGAAGCGUUUCGGCGCGUAAAGCUCUGUCAGCGGGGAAGAAACAAGGUUUGCGAGAGCCGCGGACGGUACCUGACCAAGAACCCCCGGCUAACUACGUGCCAGCAGCCGCGGUAAUACGCAGGGGGACAGCGUUAUCCGGGUUCACUGGGUGCAAAGGGAGUGUAGACGGCGAGAUAAGGCUGGAGUGAAAGGCCGGGGCCCAACCCCGGGACUGCUCUGGAAACUGCCUGGCUGGAGUACAGGAGAGGUAAGUGGAAUUCCUAGUGUAGCGGUGAAAUGCGUAGAUAUUAGGAGGAACACCAGUGGCGAAGGCGGCUUACUGGACUGUAACUGACGUUGAGGCUCGAAAGCGUGGGGAGCAAACAGGAUUAGAUACCCGGGUAGUC